AUCAUGGCAACAGGACUUUUAGAAGCACGUCCUCUGAAAGCCAUUUUCUGCCUGUGGUUGGAAAGGGACUGUGAGUCUUUCCUCAGGAAGUCAGUAGCCCUACCUGGUGAGGUGAUCAAGAGUUUGCUAGCACAAGAGAUGAAGCAACAAUGGCCAUGAGGGAUUCAAGGAUUAUGCGUCUCUGCACCCUACAAUACACCAACUGGCAGUUCCAUCAUUUGAAAGAAAAUCUUCAAGGUAAAGACAUUUACAAUGACACAAAAACCUUUCAAAGGCAUCAUGGUCCUAAAGGGCUUUCCCCAAGGGACAGCACAGUGUGUUCCAGGCCCUGACAAGAGGUUUAAGACCUGUGACACAGACUGAAGCUCUCCUGGCAUACUCUGAAGCUCUCCUGGCACCCUCCCCUUUAUGCUUCACAGGUGUUUCUCCUAAUAAAUUUCUUGUAUGUCUCAUCCC
rnacentral:lncRNA from 1 species